ACGAGCGAAUGAUCUGCCGUCUAGACGCAACUCAGGCGCUCAUCGCCAACUUAUCGGACCAAAAGUUCUCGGGAGAAGGCCAAAGAGCUGUCAGUGGAGCUCUCAGUUCCCAGCCCUGCGGAAAAAGACAACAAAAGACAUUUGUGAAAUGGUCGCCACAUAGGUCAAGAAGUUAACGGAACUCUGGGUAGAAAUAGGGAUAAGCCACGAGCGAAUGAUCAGCCGUCUAGACGCAACUCAGGCGCUCAUCGCCAACUUAUCGGACCAAAAGUUCUCGGGAGAAGGCCAAAGAGCUGUCAGUGGAGCUCAGUUCCCAGCCCUGCGGAAAAAGACAACAAAAGACAUUUGUGAAAUGGUCGCCACAUAGGUCAAGAAGUUAACGGAACUCUGGGUAGAAAUAGGGAUAAGCCACGAGCGAAUGAUCAGCCGUCUAGACGCAACUCAGGCGCUCAUCGCCAACUUAUCGGACCAAAAGUUCUCGGGAGAAGGCCAAAGAGCUUUCAGUGGAGCUCUCAGUUCCCAGCCCUGCGGAAAAAGACAACAAAAGACAUUUGUGAAAUGGUCGCCACAUAGGUCAAGAAGUUAACGGAACUCUGGGUAGAAAUAGGGAUAAGCCACGAGUGAAUGAUCAGCCGUCUAGACGCAACUCAGGCGCUCAUUGCCAACUUAUCGGACCAAAAGUUCUCGGGAGAAGGCCAAAGAGCUGUCAGUGGAGCUCUCAGUUCCCAGCCCUGCGGAAAAAGACAACAAAAGACAUUUGUGAAAUGGUCGCCACAUAGGUCAUUCAGUUAACGGAACUCUGGGUAGAAAUAGGGAUAAGCCACGAGUGAAGAAUGAUCAGCCAUCUAGACGCAACUCAGGCGCUCAUCGCCAACUUAUCGGACCAAAAGUUCUCGGGAGAAGGCCAAAGAGCUGUCAGUGGAGCUCUCAGUUCCCAGCCCUGCGGAAAAAGAGAACAAAAGACAUUUGUGAAAUGGUCGCCACAUCGGUCAAGAAGUUGACGGAACUCUGGGUAGAAAUAGGGAUAAGCCACGAGCGAAUGAUCAGCCGUCUAGAUGCAACUCAGGAGCUCAUCGCCAACUUAUCGGACCAAAUGUUCUUGGGAGAAGGCCAAAGAGCUGUCAGUGGAGCUCUCAAUUCCCAGCCCUGCGUGUGCACCUGCCAGCUGCCAUGUCCAUGCAAAAUGACAACACCGCACUGGGAUAUAGGCACACCUCAACAAUGCCAUGAGCAAAGAGCCGUUACACUGUGGCAUCCAUUGUGCUCCACAAUGUGGCAAAGAGGCGGAAUACUGUGGCAUCCAUUGUGCUCCGCAAUGUAGCAAAGAGGCGGAAUACUGUGGCAUCCAUUGAGCUCCGCAAUGUAGCAAAGCGCCGGAAUACUGUGGCAUCCAUGCGGUUCAUCGAGGAAAACAGGCACUUUGACCUGAUAAAGUCUGGGUUCAAGUACGUGACAUGGUCAUAUUAGACGCAGUGAGAAGCCCACCAGACCACACAGCCACAUAUCAGGCCACUCGUAUAGAACUGUCAAGGAAAAUGGCCCACACCAACAACCCUGCACCGAAGCAGGCAUCGUGCCAACCAGAUAGUGGUGGCAUGAACAGUGGAUAUCCUGGCACAAUCCAAGCUGUGAAUCCAAACCAUGCAUUCAGAUUAUUCGGUCAGAGCAAUAAAGAUCGUUCCGACUUUUCUAUUGAUAACGUUGACAAAUCCCUGCUUCAGCCAGAAAAGGGCUAGCGUCGGGGACAAGGUCCACUUUGAUGCCCUGCCAAAUCCAAAGCCGACCUACUACGCACAGAAGUGGUGGGCCACCAAUGUCAAAAAAGUGCAGUGUGCUCAACUUGCCUAGGCCAAUGACAGCGGAGACAAGGCUUUUCUUUCCGACAACGAUAUCGCCAAGAUCCUACUUGACCCAAAGGAGUUGUCUGUGUGGAGGAAGCUAUCUGGCAUCAAAGGCACAUUCUUCCCAACCUCUGAAUACAGGUCUCCUAUCCAGCUAUGAGCAGAACGUCAUGGUUCAAGUCAUACUGCAAUGGAAAAAAGGCCCGAUGGUUCGGUGAGCUGUGAGAGAACUGCACUCUCCAAGACACAGUGGACAACUUUGUAGAUGCAAUCGAAGCAUAACGCGACAUGUAGGUAGCGAUGCUCGUGGACAGGUGAAUGGCCUCAGCACUGCCUCAUGGAGCAGAGCGAAAGCGCGUUUUA